GGAGUUUGGACCGUGUCUCAGUUCCAAUGUGGCCGAUCACCCUCUCAGGUCGGCUACUGAUCAUUGCCUUGGUAGGCCGUUACCCCACCAACCAGCUAAUCAGACGCAGGCCCAUCCCUUGCCGAUAAAUCUUUGGCUGGUCCAACAUGUGUAGGAUCAGCAUUAUGAGGUUUUAAUCCCGGUUUCCCGAGGCUAUCCCUCUGCAAGGGGCAGGUUGCCUACGCGUUACUCACCCGUCCGCCGCUUUCCGCUUAUGAAAUCAACCGAAGCGUCAGUCAUAAGUUUCUCGCUCGACUUGCAUGUGUUAGGCACGCCGCCAGCGUUCAUC
rnacentral:rRNA from 1 species